rnacentral:rRNA from 1 species
UGGGGAAUAUUGCACAAUGGGCGCAAGCCUGAUGCAGCCAUGCCGCGUGUGUGAAGAAGGCCUUCGGGUUGUAAAGCACUUUCAGCGAGGAGGAAGGGUAGUGUGUUAAUAGCACAUUGCAUUGACGUUACUCGCAGAAGAAGCACCGGCUAACUCCGUGCCAGCAGCCGCGGUAAUACGGAGGGUGCACGCGUUAAUCGGAAUUACUGGGCGUAAAGCGCACGCAGGCGGUUUGUUAAGUCAGAUGUGAAAUCCCCGCGCUUAACGUGGGAACUGCAUUUGAAACUGGCAAGCUAGAGUCUUGUAGAGGGGGGUAGAAUUCCAGGUGUAGCGGUGAAAUGCGUAGAGAUCUGGAGGAAUACCGGUGGCGAAGGCGGCCCCCUGGACAAAGACUGACGCUCAGGUGCGAAAGCGUGGGGAGCAAACA